GUUAACGCUGGCGGUAGGCCUAGCACCUGCCAGUCGCACGGCAGCACAGUAAGAGCUUGCUCUUACGGGUGGCGAGUGGCGGACGGGUGAGGAAUACAUCGGAAUCUACUUUUUCGUGGGGAUAACGUAGGGAAACUUACGCUAAUACCGCAUACGACCUACGGGUGAAAGCAGGGGAUCUUCUGACCUUGCGCGAUUGAAUGAGCCGAUGUCGGAUUAGCUAGUUGGCGGGGUAAAGGCCCACCAAGGCGACGAUCCGUAGCUGGUCUGAGAGGAUAAUCAGCCACACUGGAACUGAGACACGGUCCAGACUCCUACGGGAGGCAGCAGUGGGGAAUAUUGGACAAUGGGCGCAAGCCUGAUCCAGCCAUACCGCGUGGGUGAAGAAGGCCUUCGGGUUGUAAAGCCCUUUUGUUGGGAAAGAAAAGCAGCAGGUUAAUACCCCGCUGUUCUGACGGUACCCAAAGAAUAAGCACCGGCUAACUUCGUG
rnacentral:rRNA from 1 species